ensembl:snoRNA
UUUCAUGUGGAAAUGUCUCCUCAUUCCUUUAUGAGCAGGACUGUAUUCAUAGCAUGAUGCAUUUUAAAAGGAGUGCUCAGAGCCACCGAUCUUACAGUAGAGAUUGAAUAGUAGCCUGUAUCUCCUGCAUAA